rnacentral:lncRNA from 1 species
UUCGCUUCUGACUCCAGCUACAGACUCCAACCGAACUUCGACCGAUAAGUCUGUACCCCAUGGCAGGCCACAGUAACGGACAGCACUGCUCCACUUCCUGCGAUGGAUUCCACGUGGCUCCAUCACUCCCUGGCAGGCCACAAUAAUGGCCACAAUUCUGCUCCACUCCCUAUGGCGGACCCUAUGUGGCUCCAUUACUCCCUGGCAUGCCGUACUAACGGCCAUGAUUCUGCUCCGCUCCCUGCGGUGGAUCCUGUGCGGUUCCACCACUCCCUGACGAGUCACGACAACGAACGCCGCUCCACUCCCCGCAACUGAUUCCACAUGGCGAGCCAUGGUGGCAGCCACAACUCCACCCCAUUACUCUUCAUGAUAAAUUCCUCCUGGCCCCGUACGGCCCACGAUGAGGCG